rnacentral:rRNA from 1 species
AUUGAACGCUGGCGGCAUGCCUUACACAUGCAAGUCGAACGGCAGCACCGGGACUUCGGUCUGGUGGCGAGUGGCGAACGGGUGAGUAAUGUAUCGGAACGUAGCCUUUCAGUGGGGGAUAACGUAGCGAAAGUUACGCUAAUACCGCAUAUUCUAGUGAGCAGGAAAGCAGGGGAUCGCAAGACCUUGCGCUGAUCUGAGCGGCCGAUAUCAGAUUAGCUAGUUGGUGGGGUAAAGGCCUACCAAGGCUACGAUCUGUAGCGGGUCUGAGAGGAUGAUCCGCCACACUGGAACUGAGACACGGUCCAGACUCCUACGGGAGGCAGCAGUGGGGAAUUUUGGACAAUGGGGGCAACCCUGAUCCAGCCAUGCCGCGUGAGUGAAGAAGGCCUUCGGGUUGUAAAGCUCUUUCGGCCGGGAAGAAAUCGCAUAGGUUAAUACCCUGUGUGGAUGACGGUACCGGAAUAAGAAGCACCGGCUAACUACGUGCCAGCAGCCGCGGUAAUACGUAGGGUGCGAGCGUUAAUCGGAAUUACUGGGCGUAAAGCGUGCGCAGGCGGUUUCGUAAGACAGAGGUGAAAUCCCCGGGCUCAACCUGGGAACUGCCUUUGUGACUGCGAAGCUAGAGUACGGCAGAGGGGGGUGGAAUUCCACGUGUAGCAGUGAAAUGCGUAGAGAUGUGGAGGAACACCGAUGGCGAAGGCAGCCCCCUGGGCCGAUACUGACGCUCAUGCACGAAAGCGUGGGUAGCAAA